rnacentral:rRNA from 1 species
AGAGCUUGCUCUCGGGUGACGAGUGGCGGACGGGUGAGUAAUGUCUGGGAAACUGCCUGAUGGAGGGGGAUAACUACUGGAAACGGUAGCUAAUACCGCAUAACGUCUUCGGACCAAAGUGGGGGACCUUCGGGCCUCACACCAUCGGAUGUGCCCAGAUGGGAUUAGCUAGUAGGUGGGGUAAUGGCUCACCUAGGCGACGAUCCCUAGCUGGUCUGAGAGGAUGACCAGCCACACUGGAACUGAGACACGGUCCAGACUCCUACGGGAGGCAGCAGUGGGGAAUAUUGCACAAUGGGCGCAAGCCUGAUGCAGCCAUGCCGCGUGUAUGAAGAAGGCCUUCGGGUUGUAAAGUACUUUCAGCGGGGAGGAAGGCGAUAAGGUUAAUAACCUUGUCGAUUGACGUUACCCGCAGAAGAAGCACCGGCUAACUCCGUGCCAGCAGCCGCGGUAAUACGGAGGGUGCAAGCGUUAAUCGGAAUUACUGGGCGUAAAGCGCACGCAGGCGGUCUGUCAAGUCAGAUGUGAAAUCCCCGGGCUUAACCUGGGAACUGCAUUUGAAACUGGCAGGCUAGAGUCUUGUAGAGGGGGGUAGAAUUCCAGGUGUAGCGGUGAAAUGCGUAGAGAUCUGGAGGAAUACCGGUGGCGAAGGCGGCCC